rnacentral:rRNA from 1 species
AUUGAACGCUGGCGGCAGGCUUAACACAUGCAAGUCGAGCGAGCGGCGGACGGGUGAGUAAUGUUUGGGAAACUGCCUGAUGGAGGGGGAUAACUACUGGAAGUGGUAGCUAAUACCGCAUACCAUCAGAUGUUCCCAGAUGGGAUUAGCUAGUAGGUGGGGUAAUGGCUCACUUAGGGGACGAUCCCUAGCUGGUCUGGGAGGAUGACCAGCCACACUGGAACGGAGACACGGUCCAGACUCCUACGGGAGGCAGCAGUGGGGAAUAUUGCACAAGGGGCGCAAGCCUGAUGCAGCCAUGCCGCGUGUGUGAAGAAUGCCUUCGGGUUGUAAAGCACUUUCAGCGAGGAGGCGUUACUCGCAGAAGAAGCACCGGCUAACUCCGUGCCAGCCGCCGCGGUAAUUC